rnacentral:lncRNA from 1 species
GAAGCGUGGGAUCUAUCUGCUAGUUUGAAAUGAUGUUCAUUAAAAAGAGGGGUGGGCUUUAUAUUAUUGAUGUUGUACGGUGAACAGAUGAUAUAAUUGUUUCAAACAUAAGAACAAAUGGUUAUGGUCAUCUGGUAUAACUUGCUACAUAGUGAAUCUUGUUUGAUCUAAAAGGAGUUUGAUGUUGUUUCUUUGUUUACCUACCUUGUUCCUUUGAUUUCGGGUUUAGGUUCUUUCCAGGUCCAUAUUAGGAUGUAUUGUAGCAUUCCUCAUGAGAACUUCAAGUUAGGAUUCGACAUGGAAAAUUGCAGUUACUGAUAAUUAUGUCGCGAGUGCUCAUACUUAUGCCAAGAAGAAUCGGACAGGACGAUUUCGUGACGUUCAACCAGUGUGGAAGUUCUAGUGUUGUAAUUGCUUGGGAUUUUUGCCUUGUAGCUUAAGCAAUUGUAAAUUAUACUACCAUACUUAUUAGUUUCCCCUAUCCUCUCAAGUCUAAUGCCAUGACAAUGACAUUGGAAAUUUCUUGCCUACUUAAAUUUUUGUAGCAUAUAAUGCAAAUUGAAAAGACAGAAAAAAGGUUAAGGAGGUCCUCAAUUUUAAUUUUAUUAUUAUAUUAUAUAAAAUUUGAAAUAUAUAGUACAUAAUUUUGUAUGAUUCGCUUUUAGACAUUUUUUAUUCAAAAUUCUGAAUUUGUAACUUUUUAUUCAAUUCUUAUUUAAAACAAAAUUCUAAAUCUGUAUAAAUGUAAUGAUAGGAAAAUUAAAAUUCUGGAUCCGUAUAAAUGUAAUGAUUUGGAUCAUGUAUUUAUGAGUGAAAUAGGAAAAUUUCACCCAUCUUCAUAAUUAUUAAAAUAAUAAAAUUUCUUUUUUUGGUAAUUUGAUCUUAGAUAGAUUAAAAAUAUAUUAUUUUGUAUUAAUCAUAUAGUAAUUAAAAAUUUUCAAUUAAUAUUAUUAUAUGAUUAAAAGAAAAUUAAAAAAAGAUCGAAAUUGGUGAAUUUUUUCAAGUUCUUGAGGAAACUAUUAAAACGAUUUAAGCAAGAGCAGAAAGCAAGAUUUACUAUUAAAAAUAUUAAAAAUAUUAAAAUACUUUAUUGUUAAUUUUAUUUGGUAAAUUUAUCAAAAUAUUUUUAAGUAUGUAAUUAAAAUAUAAUUUUGAACAAAACUUAUCAACAUGGGGUUAAUUGAGAAAUAAAAAAAAACAUACGAUGCUGUAUACGAAAAAUUGAAAUUAUGGGAAGUGUGGGUGGAAUUUAUUGGUAAAUCAUUUGCAAAAUUAAAAACAAAUUAUUCUCCACUCAUUAAUUCAAAAUAGCGAUUACUUAUUUAUUUAUUUGUUUUAAUUAUACAUUUAAUUUCAUUAAUUAAUUUUUUUAAAUUUAGUUAUUGUCAAAAACCAAAAAACAAUUUUUUUUUUUGAGUAAUGGCUAAUCUAAGAAAAGUCAGAAUCACGUGAGGUAUAGAUAAAGGUUUACUGUGGUUUAAUAAGAUAUAGUUUGGUAAAAAGUUAAUGUCAUUGCUUUCUUUAGCUGAUUUUUACAUUAACAUAUCAUACACUAUUAAGAAGGAAGGUGGAUGUUAUUUUCCUUUCCUAGCAUAAUUAUAAGUUUUGCUUAAUCAAGGAUUUUCUAUGUAGUGAAAGAUUAAAAUUACAACAACAAAAAUAAAUUUUCUGUUUUUAUAUCUAUAAUAAAAAGUUUUUUCCUUAAAAACUUCUCUAUAUAUAUUUAUAUCAUUCAGAUAGUCAAAACUGAGUUAACUUGAUUGAAUUAACCCUAACAUUAUCUUGUGUGAUUAGUUACGUAAUAGAAAAAGAUACAUCUAAUAUAUUUUUUUUAAAUUAAAUUAUCUUUGAUUAGCUUUUUCUAUUUUUUGGACUUUCUUUUAUAAAGUCAUAUGAUUCACAUUUAACAUAUUCUUAUAAGGCAAGAUUCACGUUACAAAUUGAUUAAAAGCAAUCAAAACCAUGAAAAAAGAUUACAAUAACUAUUUUUCAAAAGAACUCAAGUGGUUGAACAACAAAACAAAAGGAACCAUUGAUGUUAGGUUAGGUGUAGAGGAUGGGAAGUGAAAAACCACGUCGGUUUAUUAUUUUGGAUGCUUCCAAGGAAAGAUGCAAAGUCUAACACUGACAAUGAUAUUGGAAAUUUCUUGCCCAUUUAAAUUUGUGCAACAUAUGAUGCAAAUUUGACACCCUUUUGAAAAAAAAAAAAUUUAAUGGAGUCAACAGCCGAAGGAAAGAAUCAGUUUAAUGAACGCAACAGCCGAAGGAAAGAAUUAAUUUAAUGAAGGCAACAGGGGAAGGAAAGAAUGGAGAGGUGGCAGUUGCUGUUUUUUAAAUUUAUUAUUUUUAUUAUUAUAUAUAAAAAUUUUGAGAUAUGUAAUUUAUAAUCAAUCUAAUAUGAUUAAUUUUCAAUCAUCUUUUAUGUAAAAUUUUAAAUUCGUUGCUAAAGGAGAAUAAAAAUCACAAAUGUAAUAAUUUGGAUUAUGUUUUUAUAAAUAAAAGAGAAAAAUUUGAUCUAUUUUCUUAAUUACUAAAAUUAUAAAAUUUUAUAUAGUUUUCUGGUGAUAUAAAGAUAAAUUAUUUUGAUCGUUUUUUCAUUUUCCAGUCACAAUAACUCUCUCCUGUUUUAAUCAAGAGUUGUCUUCACCUGUGGCAAAGUGCAGAUAACAAGUUUCUCUAAAGGCAUCUUCAAUCUUUCAUCUUCUCUUCAAUUCUUAGAAUGGAUAAUCAGAGAGAAAGAAAAGCAUUUUCGACCUUUCACUCAGAAUUUUAAGAGAAAGGGUCUUAGUUCAUUUAAUCUAAUGAUUAAUAACAAUUUUUUUGAAUAAUCAAAAUUUUAUUAUUCAAAAAGCAUGUAUAUAUUGUUUAAAAAAAUCAAUAAAUUUAAUUCACUAAUUUUUAAUAUUUUUAAAAAUUUUAAAAAAUAAGGUAAGUUUCCCCAAUACCUCAAAAUGCAGUUAACUUAUAAUAUAUAUAUAUUUUUUCAUAGUAUUGAAAAAAUGAAUUAAUCGAUAAUGUAUAAAUUAUUAGUAUAUAUAGUGUAAUAUUCACAAAAUUCAUAUGCAUCAUAUAGUUAUAUUUUUUUUCAUUCAAAUUACAUGCAGUAAAUUGUAAGUGAAAGAGAAAAUUAAAAUGCAAAUAUCAUGAUAUUAUUAUUUAAAUAUAAAAAAUAUGAAUUAUAUUUUCAUUGUAUUUAUUUUAUUAAUUAAUAAAAAUUAAUAAUAUAAAAAUAAUUAAAAUUUAUCCGAAACUCGCUUUAACGAAGGUUCUUUUCCUCUGCUGGUCCUACACGACAUCGCUGGUUUUCCAAUGGACGAAGUAAUGACAGCCGCAGACGCCUCGGCAAGGUUUCGAUCGGCGUCAUCUCCGCCGUCUAUUUUCCCUUCCAACGUCCCUCUCCUCUCCGCUUUCCUUGCCUUCGCUCUCGCUCAGUUCCUCAAGCUCUUCACCACCUGGUAUUUUCCCCUUAUCCCUUUUUAUUAUUUUUUCCUCAUUUUUUUUCUGUUUAAUCGAUUAAAAAGGAGGUGAAAGAAGAAAAGCAGGACAACCCAUCUCUUAAAAAGCAGUUUUAAUUUUGAAUUUUCAUUUUUUUGUGUUGGUUGUUGGGUGUAUUGGAAUGGGUAAGUUUUAGUUUGGAUAAAGGUAUGAAUGUUUUAAUAUUUUUUUAAUUGUUUUGAACUGUUAUUUGUAGAUUAAUGAGUGAUCAAAGUAAAGAAAAAAUGUUUAUUAUAGGCUGUUAAUAGAUUCUAAAUGACUAACUGUUCUAUAGGGAUUUUUAUUGACAGGUUAAAGAUGAAUGCAAUGUUCUUUAUAUUGUUUUCCAGCUAAUUUUGUAUUUGCCCUGGCAGCAUUGGUACUUCACUCUUUGGAUUAGCUCCAUAUGGAAAUUGGAAAUAAUAAGUAGUUGAGAAUCAUUAAUGAUUGUUGAAAUACAAGUAAUCUUUUGUCCGUACAUUUGCAUCUUGCUUUUAUGAUCAGAAUGACGUUAUAUUUUUAGAAAAAAAUGUCUCAUCUACUCAUUUGUUGUUGUCAGUCUUUUUGUUUGUGUGCCUUUUCUCUCUCAGUGUUUCAAUAUAUUCUCUUAGACAUGCAGGUUCAAGGAGAAGAGAUGGGAUACUAGAAGGAUGCUUGGGUCAGGUGGAAUGCCGUCAUCUCAUUCAGCAACCGUGACUGCUCUUGCAGUUGCCGUUGGUUUGCAAGAAGGAAUCGGAGGAUCAGCAUUUGCUGUUGCACUUGUUUUGGCAUGUGUUGUAUGUACCUGCUAACCAUGUCUAUUUGCUAUUAUUAAUACAUUGCUGUUCUGGUUGCCUCGGUUAACAUUUUCGGUUUCUUGGCAGGUGAUGUAUGAUGCUACUGGAGUAAGACUCCACGCUGGUCGCCAAGCUGAAGUAAGCUUGUUUCUUAUAAUCUGUGUUACUGUAUUUUUGUUAAUGGAUUGUCCUUCAUUGUCAAGAUUAUUGGAAGCAAUCUGCUCAAGUAUGGUAAGAGACCAUUGGUUCUCUGAAGUGUUCUAUAUGCCCCAUUGAGUUCUAGCUUAGUGCUAGUCAUCCACACCAUUCAGUCUAUAUCUGGUCACUCUGUUAAAUAGUUGCCAUUGAAUCCUUUUCUUUUCUCCGAUUGAUAGAUCCUCCUCAUUCUCUUACGUUAGUGUAUGAAUUGUGCGUAUUUUUACAGAGUUGUUAUUCAUGCAUUGACUAUAAAAUUUAUCCAUCUUUACAGAGUUGUUAUUCAUUGCAUUUGUUAUAUAUAAAUUUAUAUAUCUUUUGGUAUUUAAUACCAGAUGUGUUUGGGGCAUUCCAUGCCAUGCAUGUGAGUCUUAUCUGUAUUUAUUCCAGAAUAUAGCUGACAUGGAUAAAAUUCCUUUUAAGUUUGCACAAAUUUUAUAAAAGGAGACAUGGUAUUUUAGGAUAGUAUGCAUAUGGAUUCAUCCAUGAAAGAAUCACUAAUGUUCUUAUUCCUGUGCCUUGUUCCAUUAUAACAUUAGAAGUUCUGCAGUUCUACGAACUUCCAAGUAGCCUGUUACGCGGCUAGCUAAUGUGAUUUGUUCAAUGGUGCUUUUUAUCAGUACAUACUGACCCCUUUAUGUUGUUUUAAUUGAUGAUAUAAUCAUGCAUGUUUCUGCAGUUACUCAAUCAAAUUGUAUGUGAGCUACCUCCUGAGCAUCCUGUCUCCAAUGUCCGACCCCUACGAGAUUCACUUGGUCACACUCCCCUUCAGGUAUGAGGCUUUCAACAAUAGAAAUUGUGCUGUGAAACGUUGGAUCUAUCUGCUAGUUUGAAAUGAUGGUCAUUAAAGAGAGGGGUGGGCUUUAUAUUAUAGAUGUCAUACGGUGAACAGAUGAUAUAAUUGUUUCAAACAUGAGAACAAAUGGUUAUGGUCAUCUGGUAUAACAUGCUACACAGUGAAUCUUGUUUGAUCUAAAAGGAGUUUGAUGUUGUUUCUUUGUUUACCUACCUUGUUCCUUUGACUUUGGGUUCAGGUUCUUGCCGGGUCCGUAUUAGGAUGCAUUGUAGCAUUCCUCAUG